GACGAACGCUGGCGGCGUGCUUAACACAUGCAAGUCGAACGGAGAUUUAAGAGGAAGCUUGCGAAUCUUAAAUUUUAGUGGCGGACGGGUGAGUAACACGUGGAUAACCUGCCUGUAAGACCGGGACAACACCUGGAAACGGGUGCUAAUACCGGGUAAGCUCUUCAGCCCGCAUGGGCAGAAGAGGAGAGGGGAAACCCGCUUACAGAUGGGUCCGCGGCCCAUUAGCUAGUUGGCGGUGUAACAGACCACCAAGGCGACGAUGGGUAGCCGGCCUGAGAGGGUGACCGGCCACACUGGAACUGAGACACGGUCCAGACUCCUACGGGAGGCAGCAGUGGGGAAUCUUCCGCAAUGGGCGAAAGCCUGACGGAGCAACGCCGCGUGAAUGAUGAAGGCCUUCGGGUUGUAAAAUUCUGUCUUCAGGGAAGAAAAAAAUGACGGUACCUGAGGAGGAAGCCCCGGCUAACUACGUGC
rnacentral:rRNA from 1 species